rnacentral:rRNA from 1 species
GAUGAACGCUGGCGGCGUGCCUAAUACAUGCAAGUCGAGCGAACAGACGAGGAGCUUGCUCCUCUGACGUUAGCGGCGGACGGGUGAGUAACACGUGGAUAACCUACCUAUAAGACUGGGAUAACUUCGGGAAACCGGAGCUAAUACCGGAUAAUAUAUUGAACCGCAUGGUUCAAUAGUGAAAGACGGUUUUGCUGUCACUUAUAGAUGGAUCCGCGCCGCAUUAGCUAGUUGGUAAGGUAACGGCUUACCACGGCGACGAUGCGUAGCCGACCUGUGAGGGUGAUCGGCCACACUGGAACUGAGACACGGUCCAGACUCCUACGGGAGGCAGCAGUAGGGAAUCUUCCGCAAUGGGCGAAAGCCUGACGGAGCAACGCCGCGUGAGUGAUGAAGGUCUUCGGAUCGUAAAACUCUGUUAUUAGGGAAGAACAAAUGUGUAAGUAACUAUGCACGUCUUGACGGUACCUAAUCAGAAAGCCACGGCUAACUACGUG